UUCGCCGCUGAAGGCCCCUCGCCCAGAGGAAAGGGAAGUAGGAGACAUUGAGGGGGUGGCCAGCGAUGCGGGUGUCUCCACGAGGGAGCCGCGCAAAGACGGGUGUGGUUUCCAAACCAAAGAGCUCUGCAGCCAGAGCAGAGCAGAGGGGGCCCAUGACGAAGAAGCUCAAGCUCUCCUCAACAUGCCACCAGGCUCACCAGGGCCUCAGACUUAGAAGGAGGAAGGAAGCCAUCUCCCGAGCCACUUUCAGACCUCUUUCCUGAGAUGUUGGGCCAUCGUGAUAAAAAGGGGAACGUGCAUGGUGUUUGGGAGUAACGCCUAGUCAUGAAGACCAUCCUUCACUUGGAAGCCCAAACAGCUGUCCUGUUGGCCGUACUUUAUUGCCUCAACUCACCUUGUCCUGAGUGCACCUCCUCUCACAAGUUCACCGGAAUCACAACUCUCUGCAGAACAACCACAGAUGAAAAAGAGUGGAACCAACCAGAAAAGAUCUUCGACAACUAAAGACAUAAAGAAGGAGCCACAAUAAGAUGGACAGAAAGGAAGACUGAUUCAGUGGCCACACAUGGUGAAACAGGGCUUCUGGAAAAAUAAUUUGAACACAGUAGACUCAGGAAGAAUGGGGCUUGAUGUUUGGAAGGGGACUCCUUCUGGAAAGGAUUGCAUCUUUCAGUAUGGAGCGAGGAAGACUGGGUGCCCGGAAACACUCAGGUCAUUUGUUGACAGGACUUCAGAUGUAGAGAAGCUAAGAGCUGUGGUUUACCCCCAUUUGGGUCCAGUGCCAUUUGCUGCAGAGAAGCCGGGAAUGGGCCUUGGAGUCCACAGUCAUCUGAUAGCCUAUGCAAAAAUGUACCUGUGUGCUCUCAGGAUACCCUGGAUGUCAUGCCUGUCAAAGUCUCUGUUCUCACAAGCAACCUACCCCCUGGGUUGUCCACUUAGGAGCUGGUGGGGGUCCAGAAGCCAGUGCUUUGGCAGGAAUAUCCACCUAAUCUGAAGUUUCAAGAGAUUUUUAUAGACAAAAACUUCUACCUUCUCAAAAAAAGACUCCUGAUCCAACAAGAUGUUCCCAUUGCUCUCUGAUCUCUGGCACCUCAGGACAAGGGAUCAGGAUCUGGAUUUCUUCAAGGCAUUCCCCUGAGACCUACAGAAAGCUUCUGGUCCCAUGAAUACUGCCUGAUGACCAUCUUUAGAGUAGGCAGAAAAUCAAACAAAAAACUAAAACAAUGUAGCAACCAGAAUGGCUCUUUGAUAAUACAUUGUAAGUCAACUAUAUGCCAAUAUAAUUUUUUUUAAAGUGGCUAUUUGGCUUUUGGAGCCAUAAUGAAUAUGUAGAUCCUGGACCAGAUUAGGGGUUUAUGCUUUCACAGAUACUUCAGGGGAGGUCCUCCUUCUGAAAAGACUGGACCCAUGUUGGAAGACUCCUACUGAAGCAACUCCUACUCAAGCAACUUCUCAAAUGGGAGCCAGCUGCAUUCAAGGGUGUAGAACCAACUGCUAUUUGGGAAGAAUCCUGUGCUUCUAUAAAUUGUUACUUCUCUAAGGCAUAAAGAGAAAGGCAUACUGUAUGAUAGCACUUAUAUCUGGAACCUAAUAUAUGGCACAAA